rnacentral:tRNA from 2 species
GGAGAGAUGGCCGAGUGGUUGAAGGCGCACGCUUGGAAAGUGUGUAAAGGAGCAAUUCUUUCAUGGGUUCGAAUCCCAUUCUCUCCUCCA